CUGGCCAUAGCAAGUCUCUGGAUCAUUUUCUUGAUUAAUGACUGAUGUAUGAGCCAUCCCACUAUUGGCAGUGCAACCCAUGGACAGGGGUGGUCCUGGGUUGUUUUGAAAUCAGGUUGAUUGAGCCAUGAGGAAAAAAAAUCAGUAAGCAUUGUUCCUCCAUGGUUUCUGCUUCUUUUCCUGCUUCCAGGUUCCCACCUUGUGUCAUUUUGAUAACAGAAGUAACCUGUAUGGCAAAUAAACAAUUUCUUUUCCACAAAUCAUUUUGGAUUAAUGUUUUUAUCACAAUAAUAAAAAUCAGCAUAUGAUGCAAGUUUUUGCAUCAUACCAACAGCAUAAGUUAGCAGAAUAACAUACACAGGUUGUAGAAUAACCAGGCCUUCCCUUCUAGAAGCCUCCACAUCUCCAGUAAUAUACUGUUUCAUUAACCAGAGUCCAAAAUGAACAAGAGAAUGAAGAUGGGGAAAUAUAGUACAAUUUAAGCAAGAGGACAUAUUACAAAUCAUUGCAAGAUAGUUUUCUCAAAGCAGGAUUCAAAGUAAGUCAAGAGACAAAUGAAAAUAUUGAUUUAGUUGAGACAUUUUGCAAUUACAAAGAUUAAACAGAAGAAAAAUGGUGACUUUAUAUAAGUCAAAUAUAUUAAAUAUUCAGGAAACUCCACAACUUCUUAAUCCAUGUUUUUCAAUAUAAUCAAGGCCACAAUGGAUCCAUCAACUGUGCCUUCUAGGACUGGAGCAAGGACUCCAAGAAUUUCUGUAGAGUUGUAUGCUGUGAAUAUGCAUUAUUACCAUUGGCUAAUAAAAAAUCUGCGUUGGCCUAUGGCAGUGCAGAAUAUAGUAAGGAAGGAAAUCUAAUUUUUUUUUUUUCAGAUAGGGUCUGUUUGCUGGCAGCGAGCAGAAGUGUAGCUCCUUUAAGAGAAAGUUUCCUGACUCAGCAUUAACAGAAAAACCUCCACUGCUUCUUUAAUAAUCAGCUUCUUGUUUCGUCCUGGCAACACAAACAGCUCUGGAUUUUUCCGGAGGUCUUGUUACACAGCGCUUGAAUGAGGUUUGUGGGCAGCAUGUUGCAAGUUACUUGCUUCCCAGAGUUGGGGUGGUAAACAUGCCUCCCAGAGCAGGUGGUAAAUGGACCUCUGACAUGCUGGAAAGCCAAGCAGGAUGGAACCAACAGUCAAAAUGGCUGCUUUGAUCUUAGCCAUACCUGCUUAUCAAUUUUAAACAAUUGUCUCUAAAGUAUUGCAGAUAUGCAAUAAAGACAAAUUCAGAAAAAAAAUAAACCUUUAUAUGGAUCAUAAUGUGUUUAAAAUGUACAUAGGUUUAAGAAAAAAGAAACAUGUAUAUAGGCAGUUUUAGGAAGAAAUAGUUUUUAAAAAUAAGUCUUUAAAGAGACAAUAAAAGCAAUAUAAGAGUACAGACCAUCAUAGAUGAAAGGAUUAAAGAUAAUAAAAUAAAUAUUAAAAACUAAUAGAGAAAAAAUAAACUACAUCAAGAUGAAAUAUACACAGAGAGUCUGAAUUAUGUAUACUAUUGUGUUUUCUUUGAAUAUUUUGACUGUGAAUGAGCUAACUAUAGAGAGAUAUUUCAUUGUAUAGGCUGCUAAGCUAAACAAGCAUAUGUAUUUUAAAAUUAUCUUGAGUUCAAAAUUUGUAUCUAAGGAUAUGUUACUUUGGAAAAGAAGUUCUGCUUUUGUUUCCACAGAAUAUGAGAACCUAUGGAUGCCUUCCAGGCUAAUGUGGUUUGAUGGAACAAGAGCCUCCGAAAGGUCUUUAUGAACCCUAAAAAUACUUCACCCAACAAGCAGCAGGAAAAAAUUUGGAGAAAACUAUACCCAAAUUCCCAAAAAGAUUGUAUGUAAAAGAAACAAAACUGAAUGCUAGAAGAAAGAAGGCAGAAGCAUGUAGCUGCAAAAGAAGAAAGAUGCCAGAAACUUACUGGUGAAGCCAGAAGACAGUGAUGAAUCCCUUGAACCUGGAGUUAGAAGCUGAACUACCCAAAAUAGGUGCAGGGAACCAAACCCCUGUCCUCUUCAUGCAUCUGUUCCAUGCAUCUAGGCCAAGUUUGUGUGCAACACGGGAGCAUGAUUUCUACAGCCAUGUGGAAGAAUCUAGACCAGCAUCCGCGAAGGGACUAGUGCCAAAGGAAGUCGGGGGCUCAUAAGUCCCAAGCCUUCAGAGGCUGGGACACCCUAUGAGUUGCCAAGACAACAGAACCACCCAUUGCAAGAAUGAGGGAAUCUCUCAAUUCAGAAAAGAGAAUUUAAAAGAAAAAAACUAAUGGCUUCUUUCUGCAAUGGAAGAAUGGAGGAAGAGAAGAAAGGAAUCGCUUUACAGCCUAGGAAAUGUAAGAUCAAGUUGCUGGAAAAUACUAUUUGAAAGAAGCUCAGGACAUUUGAAAAGAGGAAACCUCAGUUGAGAAAACACCUCCAUUAGACUGGCCUGUAGGCAAACCUGCGGGGACAUUUUCUUAAUGACUGACUUUGGAUGGUGCCUCCCUUGGGUUAUAAAAGAAACUAUGCUAAACAAGCAAUGGAGAGCAAACCAGAAAACAGUGUAGCUCCAUGGUUCCUGCCUCUGUUUCUGAUGAGUUCCUGCCCUGACUGACCUCAGUGAUCUGCUAUGAUUGCAACAUGCUAAUUCCAGCAACUCCACAGAUGUCUGCUUUUUAUGUGUGUGUACUCCUAAGAAAGGCUGUUUCCCAGGUAUAACCACUGAGGGAGCCAGACCCGCCAGGGACCUCCAUGGGAGAAGGCCUAACCAGGGACAUCUACAAGAAUAGACCUGAGCCAGCGACUUCAGCUAGAGCAGGCCCAAGGCAGCAACCUCCACAGGAUCAGUGGGGACUCUUGAGUGAUGCAUUCCUGGCAGAGCUGUAGGACUGAAGCAUGCUGCUGGCUCAUCUUCUCAUGGAAGACGGAUGCAUUUGACCCACAAAAGACUUCAGGUGUUAAAGGAACGAUCUCCAUGUGUGAAUCAUCCAAGAUUUGGGGUCUAUUUAUUGUUUCCACAUAAUUUAAUCCCAGCUUGAUUGAAACCACCUGAGAUGAUUGGAUUUUUCUGUUAGGUUGAGAAAAUUACCCUUCUGUUAUGUGAGAACAGUGGCAUGAUUUUUACAGCUGCAUUUUAUUACAAACAGGCUGAGCCCGUUCCUGAAUAGAGAUAUCACGAACUAAAGGAAGAUCCUAAAAGGCUGCUGUUGUGGUCUGAAUAUCUGUGUCCCACAUGAAUGUAUGUAUUAAAAUCUGAUCUCUGAAACAAUUUCUCACUACGGGUGCAGCCUUGGGAAAGUGAAUAGGCUCUUCAUGACCGGGACAAAUACGCUAUAAUAGGGGAUUGAGGGAGCCUCUUCACCACCUUCCACCAUGUAAGAAUGCACUGAGAAUAUGUCCUAUAUGAAGUAGAGAACAAAUACUGCUGUCUAAAUUUCAACCUUCUAGCUUUCAAAAAUGUGGAUCAAUACACUUUUCUUGGUUGUAAGUUACAUAGAGAAUUGUUACAGCAAGUCAGACACCUAAGAUAGGAAACCAUUUGGUUUAAUAUCUUUCAGUGCUGGUAGGACCAUAGGCCUUUAGUCUUCUAAAGGAACAUUGUCAGUUUUCUUUCUCAUGGUAUCUGUUUAAUUUCAUCAUUCAAUAAAUUAAGUUUAUUUGA